rnacentral:rRNA from 1 species
GAUAAACGCUUGCGGCGUGCCUAAUACAUGCAAGUCGAACGGAGGUUUUGUAGCAAUACGGAAUCUUAGUGGCGAAUGGGUGAGUAACGCGUUGGUGACCUGCCCCGAAGUGAGGGAUAACAGUUCGAAAGGACUGCUAAUACCACAUGUGGUCAGCGGCUCUAGAAACCGCUGCCUAAAGCAGUAAUGCGCUUCGGGAGGGGCCUGCGUCCCAUCAGCUAGUUGGUAGGGUAAUGGCCUACCAAGGCGACGACGGGUAGGGGGCCUGAGAGGGUGGCCCCCCACAUUGGCACUGAAACACGGGCCAAACACCUACGGGUGGCAGCAGUAGGGAAUAUUGCACAAUGGGCGAAAGCCUGAUGCAGCAACGCCGCGUGCGCGAUGAAGGUCUUCGGAUCGUAAAGCGCUUUUAAGAGAGAUGAGGAAGGACAGUAUCUCUGGAAUAAGGAUCGGCUAACUACGUGCCAGCAGCCGCGGUAAUAC